UACAGAGGUCUCAAGCGUUGUUCGGAUUCAUUGGGCGUAAAGGGUGCGUAGGCGGCGCGGUAAGUCGGGUGUGAAAUCUCGGAGCUUAACUCCGAAACUGCAUUCGAUACUGCCGUGCUUGAGGACUGGAGAGGAGACUGGAAUUUACGGUGUAGCGGUGAAAUGCGUAGAUAUCGUAAGGAAGACCGGUGGUGAAGACGGGUGACUGGGCUAGUUCUGACACUGAGGCACGAAAGCGUGGGGAGCGAACGGG
rnacentral:rRNA from 1 species